rnacentral:rRNA from 1 species
UACGUAGGGUCCAAGCGUUGUCCGGAUUUAUUGGGCGUAAAGAGCUCGUAGGUGGCUUGUCGCGUCUGCCGUGAAAGCCCGUGGCUUAACUACGGGUCUGCGGUGGAUACGGGCAGGCUAGAGGCUGGUAGGGGCAAGCGGAAUUCCUGGUGUAGCGGUGAAAUGCGCAGAUAUCAGGAGGAACACCGGUGGCGAAGGCGGCUUGCUGGGCCAGUUCUGACGCUGAGGAGCAAAAGCGUGGGGAGCGAACAGG